rnacentral:tRNA from 1 species
GCUUCAAUAGCUCAGUGUUAAAGUAUCAGACUGCGAAUCUGGAUUAUGUGGGUUUGAAUACCACACAUAGCA